rnacentral:rRNA from 1 species
UACGAGAGGCCCAAACGUUAUUCGGAUUUACUGGGCUUAAAGAGUUCGUAGGCGGUCCGGAAAGUGGGGUGUGAAAUCUCCGGGCUUAACCCGGAAAGGUCAAUCGAUACUGCAGGGCUAGAGUGCAGAAGGGGCAACUGGAAUUCUCGGUGUAGCGGUGAAAUGCGUAGAUAUCGAGAGGAACACCUGCGGCGAAGGCGGGUUGCUGGGCUGACACUGACGCUGAGGCGCGAAAGCUAGGGGAGCGAACGGG